GCCUGGCUGGCUGAGCCCGUUGGUGGCAUGUGACUCUUGAUCUUGGGGUCAUGGGUUCAAGCCCCAUGCUGGGUG
rnacentral:tRNA from 1 species